CAUUGGCCGCCUCCCCCGGGGUGGAAAAAAACAAGCUGUCAGGGCCGAUGACGUCAUCACCACCCCCACGCUUUCCCGCAUUUGGGUGAAUUUCUGCAGAAAUCGGCCACCGUGGCAGCAGGGGGGCAGGAGAAGCCCAAAAUUGCCGUUUCUGUCCCCGUUUUGGUGCCGUUUGGGGUGUUUUCGCGCGGUGGCCGCUGGGGGUCGCUAUGGGAGCGCUGUGGGGCGAUCAAUAACCAAUGGGGUCAGUUAUGGGGUCAAUAACCCGUAGGAUCGAUAACCAAUGGGAGUGAUGACUAAUCAAUCGAUAAUCAAUCAGGUUAUCAAUAACCCAGCACAUCGAUGACCAAUGGUGUCAACAAUAGGGUCAACAACCAGUAGGAUCAAUAACCAAUAGGGUCAAUAACUGAUAGGGGCAAUAACCCAUAAGAUCGAUAACCAAUAGGGUCAGUAAUGGGUAGGAUCGAUAACCAAUAGGGUCAAUAAACCAUCAGAUUGAUGACCAAUAGGGUCAAUAAUGGGUAGGAUCAAUAACCAAUAUGAUCAAUAACCUAUAUGGCCAAUAACCCAUAGGACCAAUAAUCAAUGGGGUCAAUAAAUAAUAGGGUCAGUAACCAAUGGGAUCAAUAACCAAUAGAACUGAUAAGCACUAGGGGCCAUAAAAUAUAGGAUUGAUGACCAAUAGAGUCAAUAAUCAAUAGGACUGGCAAUCAAUAAGGUCAAUAAUCAAUAGGAUUGACAACCAAUAGGGCCAAUAACCGAUAGGGCCAAUAACCGAUAGGAUUAAGCACUGACAGAGCCCGUAUAAUGAACUAAUUGAUCCCAAAUCCAGGUAAUUCACCCCCAAUCCCAGGUAAUUCACCCCAAAAUCCAGGUAAUUUACCCAAACCUCAAGUAAUUCACCUCAAAAUCCCGGUAUUUUACCCCCAAAUCCCGGUAUUUUACCCCCAAAUCCCGGUAUUUUACCCCCAAAUCCCGGUAUUUCAUCCCCAAUCCCAGGUAAUUCGCCCCAAAAUCCAAGUAAUUCAACCCAAAAUCCAAGCACUUUACCCAAAAUCCAGGUAACUCACCCCAAAAUCGCAGUCACCCCAAAAUCUGUGUAAUUUGCCUCAAAAUCCAGGUAGUUUACCCCCAAAUGCAUGCAUUUUAACCCCAAAUCCAGGGAAUUCAUCCCCAAACCCACGUCACCCGCAAAUCCAGGUAAUUAACCCCAAAUCCAAGUAAUUCAACCCAAAACCCAGUUAAUUUACGCCAAAAUCGAAGUCACCCCAAAAUCUGGGUAAUUUACCCCCAAAAUCCAGGUAAUUUACCCAAAAUCUGCAUGUUUUAUCCCAAAUCCAGGUACUUUACCCAAAAUCCAGGGAAUUCACCCCAAUUUUUCUUCUCUCUCCCUCCAGGUGGGUGCCGGCGGUGGAGGAGAAGACGUGUGGUGAGAGUCUCUGCCACCGCUCCCACCACCUACUCGCUGGUCCCCUGCCUCAGCGACUGCGAUGGCGAAGGCAACGUCACCAUCGGCUGCUUCGUGAACGACUUCUUCCCCGAGCCCGUCACCAUCAGCUGGGUGUCCAACGUCGCGGGUGACCAGGUGACCUUCCCGGCCGUCCAGGGCAGUGACAGCUUCUACAGCGCCAGCAGCCAGCUCACGGUGCCGGCCAGCAGCCUCGCGGGCAACUCCUUCCAGUGCAAGGUCAACCACGUGCCCACCUCCUCCUCCCUCAGCGAAGUCAUCAGUGGAGACGAAGUGUGUCCUAUUGAACCCCCGGUGGUGAAGCUCCUCAGCUACCCGACCCAAGAAGACCCCGAGAAUAGGGUCCUGCUGGUGUGCCUCAUCGAGGGGCUGAAGGGCAGCAACGCCGAGGUGGAGUGGCUGGUGAACCAGGAGGUCCAGAACCUGGAGGAGGACAACUACAGCUGCAGCGAGUGCUCCAACAAGAAGGCCACGCAGUGGAGCCAGGUCAACGUCAGCCGGCAGAGCUGGGACCAGGGGGCCGAGUUCUCCUGCAGGGUGUCCCACACGUCGCUCAAGGAGCCCAUCGUCAAGUCCAUCAGCACCUACUGCACAGGUCCCGGACCCGAGCUGGAUGUCACCGUCCUCCCCCCGUCCUUGGAGGACCUCUACAUCAGCCAGAACGCCAGCAUCACCUGCGUGGUGGCCAACGCCCCUAAAGACCUGAAGUUCUCCUGGUCCCGGAGCACCGGGACCACCUUGGACGUGUCCUCCGGGGAGCCCGAGAAGCAGGAAAACGGCCUCUACCACCUCACCAGCGUCCUGAAGGUCUGCGCCGAGGAGUGGAACAGCGGUGAGACCUUCUCCUGCUCCGUGUCCGGCUCGGAGCUCCAAGGACCCAUCAAGAAGUCGGUGAAGAAAGACCUAGCCGUCUCGGUGCAGGCACCCUCCGUCUACGUCUUCCCCCCGCCGGUGGAGGAGCUGGCCCGCCAGGAGACCGCGACCUUGACCUGCCUGGCCUCGGGCUUCCGUCCCCGCGACAUCUUGGUCACCUGGACCCAGCAGGACCGGCCAGUGUCUUCCGGAAGCUUCUCCACCUUCGGCCCGCAGGAAGGCGACGGCGGCCUCUUCAGCAUCUACAGCAAGCUGAGCGUGUCGGCGUCCGAGUGGCAGCGGGGGGACAGCUUCGCCUGCGUGGUGGGGCACGACGGGAUCCCGAUGAACUUCGUGCAGAAGAGCCUGGACAAGAGCACGGGUAAACCCACCAACGUCAACGUCUCGGUGAUCCUCGCCGAUUCCGACAGCACCUGCUACUGAGCGCGGGCGGGCGCGGGGCUGUAAAUCCAAAAAAAAAAAAAAAAGAAAAAAAAAGUAUGGUGAAAAAAAAUAUAAGCCUGGUGGAAAAAAAAUAAGUAUGAUAAUAAAAAAAGAUGGAAAUCACGCACAAACGUUCCAGCGCUGGUGUCUUCAUCCGGUGCGUCCACCUCCUCCCAAUCCCCGUCCGAAAAAAAAAUAAUGAUAAUAAUUCAAAAAAAAAAAAAAAAAUCC